AUUGAACGCUGGCGGCAGGCCUAACACAUGCAAGUCGAACGAGUGGCGGACGGGUUAGUCAUGUCUGGGAACUUGCCUGAUGGAGGGGGAUAACUACUGGAAACGGUAGUUAAUACCGCAUACCAUUGGAUGUGCCCAGAUUGCAUUAGGUAGUAGGUGGGGUAACGGCUCACCUAGGCGACGAUCCCUAGCUGGUCUGAUAGGAUGACCAGCCACACUGGAACUGAGACACGGUCCAGACUCCUACGGGAGGCAGCAGUGGGGAAUAUUGCACAAUGGGCGCAAGCCUGAUGAAGCCAUGCCGCGUGUUUGAAGAAGGCCUUCGGGUUGUAAAGUACUUUCAGCUGGGAGGCGUUACCCGCAGAAGAAGCACCGGCUAACUCCGUGCCAGCAGCCGCGGUAAUAC
rnacentral:rRNA from 1 species